UGCCAGCCGCCGCGGUAAGACGAAGGUGGCGAGCGUUAUCCGGAUUUAUUGGGCGUAAAGGGCUCGUAGGUGGUUGCGUAAGUCGGAUGUGAAAACUCAGGGCUCAACCCUGAGACGCCAUCCGAUACUGCGCUGACUAGAGUCCGGUAGAGGAGUGUGGAAUUCCUAGUGUAGCGGUGAAAUGCGCAGAUAUCAGGAGGAACACCAGCGGCGAAGGCGGCGCUCUGGGCCGGUACUGACGCUAAGGGACGAAAGCGUGGGGAGCGAACAGGAUUAGAUA
rnacentral:rRNA from 1 species